rnacentral:lncRNA from 1 species
UUGGAUAGAACACACACCACAUACACUUGGUUCUUCCAUCCUCAUUCAUUCGGCCAUCUGAGACACAAUGGAGGUAAGAUUAGCUAACUGCGAUUGAAUGUCGGAUGUGGAACUUACCUCAUUCACAUGCUGCCGUGGGGUGUCCCUUUGACCAACGCCUUCAUAUUGUUGAGCAUUCAAUGCUCGGUUAGCAAUUAAGGUCUUGGCAGCCAUAGGUGUU